GUGCUCAAUUUGGCAGCACAUAUAUUAAAAUUGGAACAAUACAGAGAAGAUUACCAUGGCCCCUGUGCAAGGAUGACAUGCAAAUUCAUGAAGCAUUCCAUAUUUUU
ensembl:snRNA U6 U6 spliceosomal RNA